rnacentral:rRNA from 1 species
AUGACGUCAAGUCAGUAUGGCUCUUACGCCCAGGGCUGCACACGUGCUACAAUGGCCGGUAACAGUGGGAAGCGACACCGCGAGGUGGAGCCAAUCCCCAAACCGGCCCCAGUUCAGAUUGCAGUCUGCAACUCGACUGCAUGAAGUCGGAAUCGCUAGUAAAGGCGUAUCAGCAACGACGCCUUGAAUACGUUCCCGGGCCUU